CUUGGUCAUUUAGAGGAAGUAAAAGUCGUAACAAGGUCUCCGUUGGUGAACCAGCGGAGGGAUCAUUACGGAGUUGCAAAACUCCCAACCCUUUGUGAACGAACCUACCAGUUGCCUCGGCGGCGAGCCUUUCAGGCGGACCGCCGAAGGAAUACAAACUCUUUGCAUUAUAGUAUCUCUGAUUACUUAUUCAAUAAGUUAAAACUUUCAACAACGGAUCUCUUGGUUCUGGCAUCGAUGAAGAACGCAGCGAAAUGCGAUAAGUAAUGUGAAUUGCAGAAUUCAGUGAAUCAUCGAAUCUUUGAACGCACAUUGCGCCCGCUAGUAUUCUGGCGGGCAUGCCUGUUCGAGCGUCAUUUCAACCAUCAAGCCCUAGGCUUGUGUUGGAGCCCUGCGGCUGCCGCAGCCUCCUAAAAACAGUGGCGGGCUCGCUAUCACACCGAGUGCAGUAGUUUACUCUUCGCUCAGGGCGUGUGGCGGGUGCUGGCCGUGAAACCCCCUACUUCUUAAGGUUGACCUCGGAUCAGGUAGGAAUACCCGCUGAACUUAAGCAUAUCAAUAAGCGGAGGA
rnacentral:rRNA from 1 species